AUUUAUUUUAACUUUUUUAUUUAAAUAAUAAUUUGGAAAGAACAGAGAACGAAGAGGGAAGAGUCGAGGACCAUACCUGGAGUUCAUGUCGAAGCAACAAGAAGGUGCCUAAUCUACCUGCGCCGAAGCAAGUCGCCGCCAACAAUCCACCGAUAGCGACUUAAGAGUUAGGGUUCUUCGUGUUUUGUCCUCUGAUUGCUCUUUCCAUGGGCACUUUGGCCGCCCUUCCACCGGUGGUAACUUAGUUAAAACUUCAUACGUGCUUUUGAUUUGUCUGUAGCGUGUAGGAAGAUCAGGUUUGGUUUAGAAUGAACCCUUUUUUCAGAUUGGGGAUUUUUCUAUCCCUACUUCUGCUAAUCCCAACCCCGGCUCAAUCAGCGGUUUCAAGCAUAGAUCUAGGUUCAGAAUGGGUCAAAGUCGCCGUAGUAAACCUAAAACCCGGGCAGAGCCCAAUCUCAGUAGCGAUCAACGAAAUGUCUAAACGCAAAUCCCCGGCAUUGGUAGCAUUUCAAUCUGGAAACCGCCUAAUCGGUGAAGAAGCGGCCGGGAUAGUCGCCCGCUAUCCCGACAAAGUUUUUUCCUUUAUCCGGGAUAUGAUUGGAAAACCCUACAACAAAAUUCAAGAUUUUCUCGCGAAAAUGUACUUACCAUAUAGUAUAGUGGAAGAUUACAGAGGCACGGCCGCGAUUAGAGUUGAUGAUGGUACUGUUUAUUCUCUGGAGGAGCUGGAAGCUAUGAUUUUAAGUUACGCGAUAAAAUUAGCAGAGUUUCACUCUAAGGUUCCAGUUAAGGAUGCGGUGAUUGCGGUGCCUCCAUAUCUCGGGCAGGCAGAACGCAGGGGGUUGCUUACUGCUGCACAAUUGGCGGGUGUUAAUGUGCUUGCGCUGAUCAAUGAGCAUUCGGGUGUGGCAUUGCAAUAUGGGAUCGAUAAGGAUUUCUCGAAUGGAUCAAGGCAUGUUGUGUUUUAUGAUAUGGGAUCAAGUAGUACUUAUGCUGCACUUGUGUAUUUUUCUGCUUAUAAUGCCAAGGAGUAUGGAAAGACAGUCUCGGUUAACCAAUUUCAGGUUAAGGAUGUUAUCUGGGAUCCAGAGCUUGGUGGCCAAAAUAUGGAAAUUCGUUUGGUGGAGUAUUUUGCAGAUGAGUUCAACAAACAAGUUGGGAAUGGAGUUGAUGUGAGGAAGUUCCCCAAGGCAAUGGCUAAAUUGAAGAAACAGGUUAAGCGGACAAAAGAAAUUCUAAGUGCGAAUACAGUUGCUCCAAUAUCAGUAGAAUCCCUUUAUGAUGAUCGAGACUUCAGGAGUACCAUAACUCGUGAGAAGUUUGAGGAGCUCUGUGAAGAUUUGUGGGAGAGAUCUCUUAUUCCUGCGAAGGAAGUGCUUAAGAAUUCAGGUUUGAAGGUUGAUGAGAUAUAUGCAGUGGAGCUGAUAGGAGGUGCCACUCGAGUGCCAAAGUUGCAGGCAAAGCUCCAGGAAUUUCUUGGAAGGAAGGAUCUGGACAGACAUCUGGAUGCUGAUGAAGCUAUAGUUCUUGGUGCUGCACUACAUGCUGCAAAUUUAAGUGAUGGAAUCAAAUUGAAUCGCAAGCUAGGAAUGGUUGAUGGUUCUUUAUAUGGACUUGUGGUUGAGUUAGAUGGCCCUGGUCUUUUGAAAGAUGAGAGCACUAGACAGUUAAUUGUCCCAAGAAUGAAAAAACUCCCCAGCAAGAUGUUCAGAUCCAUUAUCCAUGACAAAGAUUUUGAUGUUUCAUUUUCAUAUGAGAAUGAAGAUCUUCUACCACCUGGUGUUUCCUCUCCUAGAUUUGCUCAGUAUGCCGUGUCUGGUUUGGCAGAUGCUAGUGCAAAAUAUUCUUCUCGGAACCUGUCCUCUCCCAUUAAGGCAAAUCUGCAUUUCUCUCUCAGUAGAAGUGGAAUACUUUCUCUGGAUCGAGCAGAUGCUGUUAUUGAAAUAACAGAAUGGGUUGAAGUUCCCAAAGUGAAUGUGACUCUGGAGAAUUCAACUACUGCAUCCCCCAAUAUAUCAGUUGAAGUGAGUCCUCAUAACACUUCAGAAGACAGCAAUGAAAACUUGCAUGGUGAUGGUGGGAUUAAUAACACCUCCAACUCCACUGAAAAUCAAAGUGACAAGGAUCUUGGCACAGAAAAAAAACUGAAAAAGCGAACAUUUAGGGUUCCACUGAAGGUAGUUGAGAAGACAGUGGGACCUGGAAUGCCCCUUUCAAAAGAGUCUAUUGCUGAAGCUAAACGCAAGUUGGAAGCAUUAGACAAAAAGGAUGCAGAGCGGCGAAGAACUGCUGAGUUAAAAAAUAAUCUGGAAGGAUACAUCUAUACCACUAAAGAAAAGCUUGAAUCAUCUGAGGAGUUAGAGAAGAUAUCAACCACCCAGGAACGCCAGUCCUUUAUUGAAAAGCUUGAUGAGGUGCAAGAAUGGUUGUAUACUGAUGGUGAAGAUGCUACGGCUGCUGAGUUUCAAGAACGUCUAGAUUUGUUAAAAUCUAUUGGUGACCCGAUAUUUUUCAGAUUGACUGAGCUUACUGCACGGCCAGCAGCAAUGGAAGAUGCUCGCAAAUACCUUGGUCAGCUGAAUCAGAUUGUACAAGACUGGGAGACAAAGAAACCUUGGCUUCUGAAAGAUAAAAUAGAUGAGGUCCUGAGUGAUGGUGACAAGGUCAAAAAUUGGUUGGAAGAGAAAGAGGCUGAGCAGAAAAAGAGUUCUGGAUUCAGCACUCCUGCAUUUACCUCAGAUGAGGUGUAUGAGAAGAUUUUCAAAUUUCAAGAGAAGGUUGCCAGCAUCAACCGAAUUCCUAAGCCAAAGCCAAAAAUUGAGAAGCCUCCAAAGAAGGAAACUGAGAACAAUGGGGCUAGCAGUGAGGAGAAGGCGAAUGCUUCCAACUCAACAUCAGAAAAGACUCCCUCCUCCCAAAACGAUCAAUCAGCUGCAGGGGAUUCAGAUGGCAAGCCCAACGAGGAAGCAGAAGGAGAUGCCCAUGAUGAGUUAUGAUCAAACCAAAGCGACAUAUAGGGGAGAUUAUGUAGGGCUACAACAUUUUUGGAAUCCAGGAUGACUGUCUUGGAGAAAGAAGACUGGAGAAGUGUGAUAGGUUUAGUUACAAAUGCAAAGCAGGUUGUGACUCCGGUGCAAGAUGUAGGUAGUAAAGUUGCUGGUUAUGCCAAGUGUUGAAGUGUCAAUAGGUUCUUCUUAUGAGCCCUGCUCUGCUCUUGCUAAGAAGCAAGAAAAUUUUAUUAUGUCAGAAGUCACCUAUUCAUUAAUAUUAGUAAUCUGAUGACUGAGUAAUCUACUAUUUUUUAUUUUUUAAACCUGUUCUUAUGCUUCAGAAAUGAAGUUUGUGUAGAAUAUAUAUAUAUAUAUAUAUAGCAUGGAUAUUGAUUACUUAUCAAAAAAUAUAUAGCCUGGAUAUUGAUACAGCACAGAGACAUGACACAGAACACAAUAGAUACAAGAGAGAGACAAAACACAAAAAACUAGGAUAUGGAUACACUAGGUAUUCAUUACAUAAAAACAUCCAUGUACAUGAACUAGCUUUAGGAGCAGAUUUUAAUUUCAAUACCUACUCCCAUGAACUUAUCUGUUUAGUUAUUUUUUACUUUAGAUGUCUUGUUUUAAGCUUCCCUUUGUAAGGCCUAGUUACCAAUUUCAUAAUAGUUAUGCCUCCACACAAUGUUGGACCAAAAUGCAUCCUUAGUAUUUGUUUUAGCUAAGGGAAUAUUCUUAAUGAAUUGAACCAUAUGUUUUUUUCCAUUGGCAAGAAGGUUACCAAAAUAUUGGACCAUAGAUUCAUUGAUUAGUGAUAUAAGCUUAAAUACUUAUUUUCUACUGGAUUGUCAAAGUAUUCAUAUUCUUCCAGAGGUAUCUAUUCAUGUUUGUGUCCCAGAUUAAUCCUCUCUUCAUAUUUGUGCCUGUGAUUUGAUCAAUCGUCUUGCUUUCCAGGUAACUCUACAGAUUUAUUAUGUUUCCAUUUUAUGAUUAACAAGGAAGAGUUUCAAAGAAUGGUGUGGUCACAUGGAAAUUUAAAUUCUUUUUUUUUUGUUUAAAUAAUUUUUAUUGUUAUUUUUUAAAUUAUAUUUGGUUAAGGCACUAUGUAUGGAUUGAUAUUGCUGAUGGUCUUCUCUUCACAGGCACAAAAAAGCUUAGUCUUGUCUCAAAAGUAUUACAUAUUAGACCGGGAGGGAACUCAGCUCCCUGGCAUCAACUUUAAUGUCAGAUAUUGAGGACAGAAUCCUCUGAUAUGUUUCAUUUUGUGUUGAAAACACUUGAGUUUCUUAGUAUACCAGCCAGAACUUAUAUAGUCUGUGCAAAAUAUAUUGGUUGAGAUGCUUUAUGAAGAUGAAAAUCAGAUUUUUUGCUUA